GUGUCAGGAGGUUGGUCGUGCCACCGGUACGUACUGGUCUCACUGAUUCCUCCUUCCUGAAUAACCGUAAUGCCAUUAAUUUGGUGUUGCGGGGAAACAGGACUGUUACUUUGAAAAAAUUAGAGUGUUUAAAGCAAGCUAACGCUUGAAUACAUUAGCAUGGAAUAAUGAAAUAGGACGAUCGAUCCUAUUUUGUUGGUUUCUAGGAUCGACGUA
rnacentral:rRNA from 1 species